rnacentral:rRNA from 1 species
UAGGGAAUCUUCGGCAAUGGGGGGAACCCUGACCGAGCAACGCCGCGUGAGUGAAGAGGGUUUUCGGAUCGUACAGCUCUGUUGUUAAGGAAGAACGAGUGUGAGAAUGGAAAGUUCAUGCUGUGACGGUACUUAACCAGAAAGGGACGGCUAACUACGUGCCAGCAGCCGCGGUAAUACGUAGGUCCCGAGCGUUGUCCGGAUGUAUUGGGCGUAAAGCGAGCGCAGGCGGUUAGAAAAGUCUGAAGUGAAAGGCAGUGGCUGAACCAUUGUAGGCUUUGGAAACUGUUUAGCUUGAGUGCAGAAGGGGAGAGUGGAAUUCCAUGUGUAGCGGUGAAAUGCGUAGUUAUAUGGAGGAACACCGGUGUCGAAAGCGUCUCUCUGGUCUGUUACUGACGCUGAGUCUCGAAAGCGUGGGGAUCGAACAGG